UGAGGAAUAUUGGUCAAUGGGCGCGAGCCUGAACCAGCCAAGUCGCGUGAGGGAUGACGGCCCUACGGUUGUAAACCUCUUUUGUCGGGGAGCAAAUUCCGCCACGUGUGGCGGAGUCGAGAGUACCCGAAGAAAAAGCAUCGGCUAACUCCGUGCC
rnacentral:rRNA from 1 species